rnacentral:rRNA from 1 species
AGCGAACGCUGGCGGCAGGCUUAACACAUGCAAGUCGAGCGCGCCGCAAGGGGAGCGGCAGACGGGUGAGUAACACGUGGGAACGUGCCUUUUGGUUCGGAACAACCCAGGGAAACUUGGGCUAAUACCGGAUAAGACCUUACGGGGAAAGAUUUAUCGCCAAAAGAUCGGCCCGCGUCUGAUUAGCUAGUUGGUGGGGUAAUGGCCCACCAAGGCUACGAUCAGUAGCUGGUCUGAGAGGAUGAUCAGCCACAUUGGGACUGAGACACGGCCCAAACUCCUACGGGAGGCAGCAGUGGGGAAUAUUGGACAAUGGGGGCAACCCUGAUCCAGCCAUGCCGCGUGAGUGAUGAAGGCCUUAGGGUUGUAAAGCUCUUUUAGCGGGGAAGAUAAUGACGGUACCCGCAGAAAAAGCCCCGGCUAACUUCGUGCCAGCAGCCGCAGUAA